rnacentral:rRNA from 1 species
UUGGAGGGCAAGUCUGGUGCCAGCAGCCGCGGUAAUUCCAGCUCCAAUAGCGUAUAUUAAAGUUGUUGCAGUUAAAAAGCUUGUAGUUGAAUUUCGGGAUCAAUUUAUCGGUCGUGCCUCUGGUAUGCACUGGUAUUAUUGAUUUCUACCUUCUGACGAACCAUGAUGUCAUUAAUUUGGUGUCAUGGGAAAUCAGGACUGUUACUUUGAAAAAAUUAGAGUGUUUAAAGCAAGCACACGCUUGAAUACAUUAGCAUGGAAUAAUGAAAUAGGACGUUUGACCCUAUUUUGUUGGUUUCUAGGAUCGACGUAAUGAUUAAUAGGGAUAGUUGGGGGCAUUAGUAUUCAAUUGUCAGAGGUGAAAUUCUUGGAUUUAUUGAAGACUAACUACUGCGAAAGCAUUUGCCAAGGAUGUUUUCAUUAAUCAAGAACGAAAGUUAGGGGAUCGAAGACGAUCAGAUACCGUCGUAGUCCUAACCAUAAACUAUGCCGACUAGGGAUCGGAUGAUGUUAAUUUUUAAUGACUCAUUCGGCGCCUUACGGGAAAC